rnacentral:rRNA from 1 species
AUACUGACGCUGAGGUACGAAAGCAUGGGGAGCAAACAGGAUUAGAUACCCUGGUAGUCCAUGCCGUAAACGAUGUCUACUAGCCGUUGGGGCCCUUGAGGCUUUAGUGGCGCAGCUAACGCGAUAAGUAGACCGCCUGGGGAGUACGGUCGCAAGACUAAAACUCAAAUGAAUUGACGGGGGCCCGCACAAGCGGUGGAGCAUGUGGUUUAAUUCGAUGCAACGCGAAGAACUCUUACCUGGCCUUGACAUACAGAGAACUUUCCAGAGAUGGAUUGGUGCCUUCGGG